UACGGGGGGGGCAAGCGUUGUUCGGAAUUACUGGGCGUAAAGGGCUUGUAGGCGGCCAACUAAGUCAGACGUGAGAUCCCUCGGCUUAACCGGGGAACUGCGUCUGAUACUGGAUGGCUUGAGUUCGGGAGAGGGAUGCGGAAUUCCCGGUGUAGCGGUGAAAUGCGCAGAUAUCGGGAGGAACACCGGUGGCGAAGGCGGUUCUCUGGGCCUGACCUGACGCUGAGGAGCGAAAGCGUGGGGAGCGAACAGG
rnacentral:rRNA from 1 species